ensembl:lncRNA SKOR1-AS1 SKOR1 antisense RNA 1
GAAAUGAUCCUUUCCAGGUAACAGCCGAGCAUAGGGGACUGCGGGACAUCUCCGCCUCUUCCUUGGCUCUGGGCCUUCGAUGUAAGGCGUUAGAGGACAAUCUUUGUUGGCUGGAUUUCUGUUCUUCCCCUAGAGAUAUCUGGUUCUUUGGAGGCCACUUGGGCAAUUGGGUUAACAAUCACUUACCUGAUACCUGCUCCCAAAACGAAUCCUAUUGAUGAAGGAUCUUCUUUCUGAGCAGUAAACCUGUGUUUAAUUAACCUUAUGCAAAUGAGCUUAAUUGCUUAUCAGUGGCUGUUGUCCAGAAGCACCUAGGGAUUCCUUCCCUCAGACAUUUUCAGCACCUAGAUGAACCGCAAAGUUGGAAGCCUUUCAUCUACACAUGUGUUGUGUGCCUGUGGAGCCCUGGGCCCUGUGUUGAAGAUUGCAAGGAAAAGCAAGGUGUGACCCCUGCUGUGGACUUACUUUCAGUCUUAGGGCAACAGACACUUACAACCAAGAAUAACAAAGGGAGCCGUCGGAACAUCCUGGGACUCCAAGGCUCCGACCCCCAGCGCAAAGGACUCUAGGGACUGGCUUCCUGGCUGUACCGCGCAGCGGGACUCCUCGUCUGCACAGCUUCGGGGAGGCCCAGAGCACGCCCCUACUAGCCGGCUCCGUCCAAGGCCCACCAAGACAACCCGCCACGAAACUUCCCGGCCCCCUCAGCCCAGGGCUCCCGGUCCCGAGCUGCUGGCCGGUGGCGCGGGGCCUGCCGCCCGCCUUCUACGAGCCGCAUGGACGGAGGCCUGCGUGUUAUUUCAUAGAGGCCGAAACGGAGACCCAGGAAAGAUAAAAGAAGGGCUCAACCCGGGACCCCCACUAGCCAGCCGAGGGCGAGAAAUGAAAGCCAAGGCUGAAUGAUUCCCUGUGCCGUGAGCUCUCUCCCACUCCAUCCACACUCUCCUCCCUGCAAAGAGUGUUCUGCAAUUUGCAGCGUCGUCUGUAGCCCAAGCAGGAGGUGCGCUGUGGAAACUGAGGCCGCUGGGAGGCCUUGCCAACCGUGACCCGGACGUCGGACGCCCCAGCCGAGGCCCGGCGAGUCCUUAGCCCCUCUCGAACUAAAAUGGACCGAACAGAAAAUGCGGACGGGGCUCCCUCCUUUCGGGUAGCGGCGGGGCAGACGGGAGGCCGUCUGUGACCGAGCUCUCCAAGUCCCGCCUUCCUUUCCAAGCCUGCCCGGCGGAGACCACCUUACUCCCUGAGACCUCCGCCCUGCCGCAGCGCUCCCAGGCCAGGCCAGGCCGGCGGUGCCCGCGCCAUCUAAAGGGACAAUUCUGGUUGAACCUGGGAUUCCCGGCAGGGCGCCCUGUCUGUGAGCGCCCCGGAGGUAACUUCCCCGGUGUGGCAGGCGUGGAAAUGGGCAUGGAUGAACCCUCGGCGCCUUCGAGCUCUUGAGGAAAGAGCCCGGGACCGCUGCGCUAAGGACCGUGACGUAAUGCCCCUCCUCCAUUCCGGGCCCAAGGGAGGGUCCUAAACGCGGAGAGGGAGUGCCCUGUGGGGGAAAACUGAGUGUGUCUGGAGGGCACAGUGGAGAGGUUGAGUGCUCGCUGCUGCCCACUUGAGCAGGCCCGAUUCUGACCCUGGGAGCCCCAGAACCCGCGGGGCGGCUCCCACCCCCACCUGUUGCACGGUGUUCCGCCGCCCCGCUCCGCCGGUGCACUCCCACCUCCGUAGCCCCAGAAGUGACAUCUUUUAUUAUUAUUAUUAUUAUUAUUAAAAACGAAAGUCACGGGUACAGGGUGGUCUCCCCAAACAGGCUCCAGGUGGUUGCCAUCUCGUGAGUCAGUUGUCGCCCUUUUAAAGUGCUGUUACAUCAAGAGGUUACAACAAAAAAUAGCCAAAGCAAAAUCCAAAGGGGAAUGCAAAACGGGACUGGAAGUGGGUCCAGGAGAAGGAAGCAAAAAUAACUUACAGCAUAAAUAAAUUAAAGUGAACCUAAUACUG